ensembl:ncRNA C13C4.11 ncRNA
GCAAUAUGGGCAGAAAGGGUCCGUUUAGAUGUUCUUCUCUCUGCUCACUGCAUGUGCACCCAGUACGUCUUCUUCACUUCUCUCACCCUCUUCACUCCUUUCUUGUUCCACUAUCUCUUCAAUACA